rnacentral:rRNA from 1 species
AGCAGCCGCGGUAAUUCCAGCUCCAAUAGCGUAUAUUAAAGUUGCUGCAGUUAAAAAGCUCGUAGUUGAAUUUCGGGACCAUCAUGUUGGUCGUGCCUCGGUACGUACUGGCAUUGUUGGUUUCUCCCUCCUGACGAACCAUGAUGUCAUUUAUUUGGUGUUGUGGGAAAUCAGGACUGUUACUUUGAAAAAAUUAGAGUGUUUAAAGCAGGCUCACGCUUGAAUACAUUAGCAUGGAAUAAUGAAAUAGGACGUUUGAUUCUAUUUUGUUGGUUUCUAGGAUCGACGUAAUGAUUAAUAGGGAUAGUUGGGGGCAUUAGUAUUCAAUUGUCAGAGGUGAAAUUCUUGGAUUUAUUGAAGACUAACUACUGCGAAAGCAUUUGCCAAGGAUGUUUUCAUUAAUCAAGAACGAAAGUUAGGGGAUCGAAGACGAUCAGAUACCGUCGUAGUCUUAACCAUAAACUAUGCCGACUAGGGAUCGGAUGAUGUUAAUUUUUUAAUGACUCAUUCGGCGCCUUAC